AGGAGUUUGAUCCUGGCUCAGGAUGAACGCUAGCUACAGGCUUAAGACAUGCAAGUCGAGGGGCAACAUGAUCGAAGCUUGCUUUGAUUGAUGGCGACCGGCGCACGGGUGAGUAACGCGUAUCCAACCUUCCCUAUAGUAGAGGAUAGCCCGGCGAAAGUCGGAUUAAUACUCUAUGUUUUCCAAUGCAGACAUCUAAGUUGGAACAAAGGUUCACCGCUAUAGGAUGGGGAUGCGUCUGAUUAGGUUGUUGGCGGGGUAACGGCCCACCAAGCCAACGAUCAGUAGGGGUUCUGAGAGGAAGGUCCCCCACAUUGGAACUGAGACACGGUCCAAACUCCUACGGGAGGCAGCAGUGAGGAAUAUUGGUCAAUGGGCGAGAGCCUGAACCAGCCAAGUAGCGUGCAGGAUGACGGCCCUAUGGGUUGUAAACUGCUUUUAUACGGGGAUAAAGUGAGGGACGUGUCCCUUAUUGUAGGUACCGUAUGAAUAAGGACCGGCUAAUUCCGUGCCAGCAGCCGCGGUAAUACGGAAGGUCCGGGCGUUAUCCGGAUUUAUUGGGUUUAAAGGGAGCGCAGGCCGACUGGUAAGCGUGACGUGAAAUGUAGCCGCUCAACGGCUGAACUGCGUCGCGAACUGUCAGUCUUGAGUGAGUUCGAUGUUGGCGGAAUUCGUGGUGUAGCGGUGAAAUGCUUAGAUAUCACGAAGAACUCCGAUUGCGAAGGCAGCCAACAAGGCCUUUACUGACGCUAAAGCUCGAAGGUGCGGGUAUCGAACAGGAUUAGAUACCCUGGUAGUCCCCU
rnacentral:rRNA from 1 species